rnacentral:rRNA from 1 species
UACGAAGGGGGCUAGCGUUGUUCGGAAUUACUGGGCGUAAAGCGUGCGCAGGCGGUGAUGUAAGACAGGUGUGAAAUCCCCGGGCUUAACCUGGGAACUGCAUUUGUGACUGCAUCGCUGGAGUGCGGCAGAGGGGGAUGGAAUUCCGCGUGUAGCAGUGAAAUGCGUAGAUAUGCGGAGGAACACCGGUGGCGAAGGCGGCAUCCUGGACCGGCAUUGACGCUGAGGCGCGAAAGCCAGGGGAGCAAACGGG